GACAGAGGGUGCAAACGUUGUUCGGAAUUACUGGGCGUAAAGCGCGUGUAGGCGGCCAUGCAAGUCGGAUGUGUAAGCCCUCGGCUCAACCGGGGAAGUGCACUCGAAACUGCAAGGCUAGAGUCUCGGAGAGGAUCGUGGAAUUCUCGGUGUAGAGGUGAAAUUCGUAGAUAUCGAGAGGAACACCGGUGGCGAAGGCGGCGAUCUGGACGAUGACUGACGCUGAGACGCGAAAGCGUGGGGAGCAAACAGG
rnacentral:rRNA from 1 species